rnacentral:rRNA from 1 species
ACUCAAAUGAAUUGACGGGGGCCCGCACAAGUGGUGGAGCAUGUGGUUUAAUUCGACGCUACGCGAAGAACCUUACCUGGAUUUGACAUGCACAGGGAUUUACCAGAGAUGGUAAAGUCCUUCGGGACCUGUGCACAGGUGCUGCAUGGCUGUCGUCAGCUCGUGCCGUGAGGUGUUGGGUUAAGUCCCGCAACGAGCGCAACCCUUGUUCUUAGUUGCCAUCGGGUAAAGCCGGGCACUCUAAGGAGACUGCCAGCACAAGCUGGAGGAAGGUGGGGAUGACGUCAAGUCAGCAUGGCCCUUACGUCCAGGGCUACACACGUGCUACAAUGGCGGAUACAGAGGGCUGCCAACCCGCGAGGGGGAGCGAAUCCCAAAAAGUCCGUCUCAGUUCGGAUUGCAGGCUGCAACUCGCCUGCAUGAAGUCGGAAUCACUAGUAACCGCAGAUCAGCUACGCUGCGGUGAAUACGUUCCCGGGCCUUGCACACACCGCCCGU